CACUCUUCAACAAAUAUCAUACAUUCAUACUGCCACUUUCACAUAUCCGAUACUUUCACAAAAUUAAACCCAUUACAAAUCAUACUCACACCCACCCUAUUUGGCUUCUGAACUACCAUCUUUUUGGUCGGAAGAUCAGAUCUAGAACCUAUUUGCCCGUAUCUUGACUCAUUUGGCUAGGUUUUGACCAUUUUAGCCAGAAAUUGAGCGUUGACUUCGGUUGAUCGUCGUUGGCCGAUUUUUGUGAUUGAUCCGGCUAAAUCUAACUCGUGGCGGUGCCGAUCUCCGAUCCUUUUUCGGGAAAUCGGCUAGAUCGGCCGAGUUUUGUAACCUUGGUUAUUAUCAUUAUUAUUUUGAUUCAUUGAUAGUUCUUAUUUUCUUCUUCUAUAUGUAAUUCUUUUAUUUUUUAUUAUACUUCAAGAUAUAAAGUGAUAGUGAAUCACUACAAAAGAUCACUGAUGCUGUAAAUCUCUAACCCUAAAUACCGGAUUCCCACUUUCCUGCACCUGUAGGGUCGGGUGCGAAACUUGCAUCGAUAUUAAAACUCUCUUAUGUUAUAUGUUAUAAAUGUUCUUUUUAAUUAUUUGAUUAUGGGUGAUGUAGGAAGCAGAAGGUGUUUCAACUAUUGAUGGACCGUUACUAAAAAAACUACUGGUAUUUGGUUACUUAAUGAUUGAAAAACAUUCAAGUACAUUUGAGAGAGUGGUGUGAAGCUCGAGGUAAUCGAAGAACACGACUAAAACUUAUUAAGGGUUAUUUUUUGUAGUUUAACAUAUUAUAAGCUUAUGCGAGUUUUUACAAACUGCUUGAAGUAGCUUAGUCAUGUUCUUUAAAAACUCGCGUGCUAAACUACAAAAAUAACCUUUAAUAAGUUUUAGUCGUGUUCUUCGAUCCUUGGGCUUCAUGCCACUAUCUCGAAUGUACUUAAAUGUCUUCCAAUCGUUAGGUAACCAAAUAGGAUUUUUUAGUAACAGUCUACCGAUAGCUCUACCGAUAGCUGAAACACCUUGAGAUUCAUAUGCUACCCAUAGUCAAAUAAUUAAAAAAACAUCUAUAACAUAUAACAUAAAAGAGUUUUAAUAUCGAUGCAAGUUUUGCACGCGGUCCUACAUGUGCAGGCAAGUGUAAAUCUGGUAUUUGGGGUAGGAGAUUACAACAUCAGUGAUCUUUGGUAGCGAUUCGUUGUCACUAUAUUCACUGUUGUAAAA